AAUGACUUAAUUUUAUGCAAUACAUUCCAUUAGCAUUGUGAUUUAUUGUCAGAAGGCGUAUCAGUUUUUAAGAAAGGUAUUUGUGAUAUUGUAUGUGGAUAAAACUAAUCCCUAAACCUGCUGGAUCAAAAAUUAUUUUGUCUUGGACACCCUGAGUAUACAGACAGACCACCCUGAACUUUGAUCCUUGCAGUUUGAUCAGGGUCUACUUUUUUGGCUUUAAGUUACUAUUGAUUUUCAUCACAAUAUACCUGAAUUGAUAAUUGACCAGUGUUUUUUCUCAUUUAAUUUGGAAGAGGCCUUAGCCUCUUGAUUUUGGGAAAAAUUAUUGCUAAAAAUGCUAAUUUGGGAAGGAGAAAAGCUGGUUAAGUUCAGACUUUUGGGAAAACUGUAUGAUUUUAAAUAAAAUUUCCUUUUGGAAGAGGCCUUAUAUAGGCCUCUCUUAUACACAGUGUAUGGUGAAAAAUUACUGUGGACUUGUAAUUAAAUGAAAGUUGAACAUAUCCAAUCUAGAAAUUCAAUAGGCUAUUAUUUAAGAAAAAAAUGUAAAAAUAUAUUUUGAAGUAGAGUUGAAUCCACUUUCAAAGAGUCAAGAACGUGUACAUUUCAUGCAAAAUAUGUUUAAAAUGCAUUAUCAUAUUUGAAUUUCUUUCCAAUUAAAUUGUAGUGAGGGCUUUUUUUGGCCACAAAUCUAUAAAGGCAUCUUUUAUGUUUUUGUUAAAAGCUAUUUUAUGUUAUUUUUCUACUUUUUACCUUUAAUUAAACUAACUCAGAGUAGACUAUGAACUUCAAACAUAUUUCUAUGUAGGGCGAUGCUCUUUUUGCCCUACGCAAAUUUUGCAUGCGCGAGAAAAUACUACUUCCUAUCGAUAUUUCAUAGCAACGGACCCCAUCGUAAAGGAGACAAAGAGUUAAUUAGUUAUAACAAUGGCUGUCCAAACCCUCAGGAAGAGGGGGGGGGGAUAGCAGGGAAAAAGAGCAAAUUUUUUUACCAACUCUUCAAACUUCUCUAUAUGUAACUAACUAUAAAUGUAAGUUAGUUUGAUAUUAUGUAUGUAGCAAAGGGAAAUAUGCAAUAUAUAAUUUUAUACAAGUUUUUUUUACGCAAAUACUGGGCAAUGUUUUUAGAUUUUCAUUUCAGUUGCUACAUUCCAGAAAUUGAACAUGUAUUUUAUUAGAUGAAAUGAUAAUGUGUUCUAUUUUUGUAAAAAAAAAUUUAGUGUGUUUUACUGUUUUAUAAUUUGUAAUUAACUUUUACAUGACUUUACGAUGUAAGAUUUAAAGUUUUACAAAACUGUAAACUAGAUAAUAAUGUUUUUCCUGCAUAAUAAUAAUCAAGUGAUAUUAUCUUCAAACAUGUUUAUAUUAAUCUGAUUUAUUUAAAGUAUUGUUAUUAUUAAAGAAAAAGCA